rnacentral:tRNA from 1 species
GCCGGAUUAGCUCAGUGGUAGAGCACCCGCCUUGUAAGCGGAAGGUCGUCGGUUCGACCCCGACAUCCGGCU